rnacentral:tRNA from 1 species
GGAGUUGUGGCUCAGUGGUAGAGUGCUUGCCUGGCAUGUGUGAGGCUCAAUUCUCAGCACCA